UACAGAGGGUGCAAGCGUUAAUCGGAAUUACUGGGCGUAAAGCGUGCGUAGACGGUUAUUUAAGUCAGGUGUGAAAGCCCCGGGCUCAACCUGGGAAUUGCAUUUGAGACUGCAUAGCUAGGGUGCGGAAGAGGGAAGCGGAAUUUCCGGUGUAGCGGUGAAAUGCGUAGAUAUCGGAAGGAACACCAGUGGCGAAAGCGGCUUCCUGGUCCAGCACCGACGUUCAGGCACGAAAGCGUGGGGAGCAAACAGG
rnacentral:rRNA from 1 species